rnacentral:rRNA from 1 species
ACGAACGCUGGCGGCGUGCUUAACACAUGCAAGUCGAACGGUGAAGCGCCUUCCUUUUUGGUGGGUGUGGAUGAGUGGCGAACGGGUGAGUAACACGUGAGUAACCUGCCCCCUUCUUCUGGAUAACCGCAUGAAAGUGUGGCUAAUACGGGAUAUUCUGGGUCUGUCGCAUGAUGGGUCUGGGAAAGAUAUUGUUUCGGUGGGGGAUGGGCUCGCGGCCUAUCAGCUUGUUGGUGGGGUGAUGGCCUACCAAGGCGGUGACGGGCAGCCGGCCUGAGAGGGUGGACGGUCACACUGGGACUGAGACACGGCCCAGACUCCUACGGGGGGCAGCAGUGGGGAAUAUUGCACAAUGGGCGCAAGCCUGAUGCAGCGACGCCGCGUGAGGGAUGGAGGCCUUCGGGUUGUGAACCUCUUUCGCCAGUGAAGCAGGCCUGCCUCGUUUGUGGGUGGGUUGACGGUAGCUGGAUAAGAAGCGCCGGCUAACUACGUG